AAAGAGAGUCGAUGAACACUUCUCCGAACCUUUUUUAAGGGAAAAGGAAGGGAAGGAAUGAAAUUAAAACAACACUCACUUAAAACAAGAAUCUGUAGCGUAACUCUUGCUACAACUGGCCUCAUAGGCAACAGAACACUCUUUUUCCACCUAUGGGGAGGAGAAUACAGUUUUUCAAUGGUGCCAACGGAACCGCGAAAAAGGAAAGACAAAUAGAAAACACAAUACCAU
rnacentral:lncRNA from 1 species